rnacentral:rRNA from 1 species
GAUGAACGCUAGCGACAGGCUUAACACAUGCAAGUCGAGGGGCAGCAUAAAAGUAGCAAUACUUUGGUGGCGACCGGCGCACGGGUGAGUAACGCGUAUGCAACCUACCUAUCAGAGGGGAAUAACCCGGCGAAAGUCGGACUAAUACCGCAUAAAACAGGGGCACCGCAUGGUGAUAUUUGUUAAAGAAAUUCGCUGAUAGAUGGGCAUGCGUUCCAUUAGGUAAUUGGUGAGGUAACGGCUCACCAAGCCGACGAUGGAUAGGGGAACUGAGAGGGUGGUCCCCCACACUGGUACUGAGACACGGACCAGACUCCUACGGGAGGCAGCAGUGAGGAAUAUUGGUCAAUGGGCGAGAGCCUGAACCAGCCAAGUCGCGUGAAGGAAGAAGGAUCUAUGGUUCGUAAACUUCUUUUGCAGGGGAAUAAAGUGCAGGACGUGUCCUGUUUUGUAUGUACCCUGAGAAUAAGGAUCGGCUAACUCCGUGCCAGCCGCCGCAGUAA